rnacentral:rRNA from 1 species
GCCAGACUCCUACGGGAGGCAGCAGUGGGGGAUAUUGCACAAUGGGGGGAACCCUGAUGCAGCGACGCCGCGUGGGUGAAGGAGCGUUUCGGCGCGUAAAGCCCUAUCGGCAGGGAAGAAGGAGGACGGUACCUGACUAAGAAGCCCCGGCUAACUACGUGCCAGCAGCCGCGGUAAUACGUAGGGGGCAAGCGUUAUCCGGAUUUACUGGGUGUAAAGGGGGCGCAGACGGCAGCGCAAGCCAGGAGUGAAAGCCCGGGGCCCAACCCCGGGACUGCUCUUGGAACUGCGCGGCUGGAGUGCAGGAGGGGCAGGCGGAAUUCCUGGUGUAGCGGUGAAAUGCGUAGACAUCAGGAGGAACACCGGUGGCGAAGGCGGCCUGCUGGACUGCGACUGACGUUGAGGCCCGAAAGCGUGGGGAGCAAACAGGAUUAGAUACCCCAGCA